AAGUAUUAAAGGUCCCGCCUGCCCAGUGAUAUUUUAAACGGCCGCGGUAUUCUAACCGUGCAAAGGUAGCGCAAUCACUUGUCUUUUAAAUAAAGACCCGUAUGAACGGCCAAAUGAGGAUAAACCUGUCUCCUAUAACCAAUCAGUGAAACUGAUCUCCCAGUACAAAAGCUGGAAUAAUCCCAUAAGACGAGAAGACCCUGUGGAGCUUAAAACAAACCACUAAGCAAACCCGAAAUCCUAGUGUAAUGUUUUCAGUUGGGGCGACUUCGGAAAAAAACAAAACUUCCGAGCACAGAGCCACAAUCUCUUGCCGAGGCCAACAAGCCAAAGCACAAAACCCGACCCGGCCUUGCCGAUAAACGAACCAAGUUACCCCAGGGAUAACAGCGCAAUCUUCUUCGAGAGCCCCCAUCAACAAGAAGGUUUACGACCUCGAUGUUGGAUCAGGACACCCAAAUGGUGCAGCCGCUAUUAAAGGUUCGUUUGUUCAACGAUUAACAGUCCUACGUGAUCUGAGUUCAGACCGGAG
rnacentral:rRNA from 1 species